rnacentral:siRNA from 1 species
CGGCCCCGUUCCACCUCGC